rnacentral:lncRNA from 1 species
CUGAAAAUUGGUGGUGGCGGUGGUGGCGGUGGUGAUGAAAUGCCUUCUCUUAGCUGUGAAUCACAAGACAUUGUACACAAUGGGGGCUCCAUCUGUAAAGCCAACUGGCAGGAAGUUCAGGAAGGGAAUGUCACAGAAUUCCUUACUGAACAACAGAGGCAGCCUGUGGAAAGGCCAUACUGGAUCAAUGGAAGCUGGCUAGAAGAAAAUUUCAGGAUCCUGUUCAUUGAGAAGAGACUGGCACAGGGGAGGAUGUGGACAACCCAACCUAGAUGGAAAUGGGAAGUUCCUGUGUUUUUCUGGAGGGCUGGAUGUGUGUUUGGAGAGAGCUGGUCUUUGCCAUAUUAUCCCCACCAAAGAAGGGGCUUGGAUUCUGAGCCUGACUAUAAUUGCUCACUUCAAAG